AACGCACCUUGCGCUCCUUGGUAUUCCUUGGAGCAUGCCUGUUUGAGUAUCAUGAAAUCUUCAAAGUAAAUCUUUUGUUAAUUCAAUUGGUUUUCUACUUUGGUAUUGGAGGUAUUUGCAGUUUCACACCUGCUCCUCUUUGUGUAUUAGCUGGAUCUCAGUGUUAUGCUUGGUUCCACUCAGCGUGAUAAGUUAUCUAUCGCUGAGGACACUGUAAAAAGGUGGCCAAGGUAAAUGCAGAUGAACCGCUUCUAAUAGUCCAUUUACUUGGACAAAAAUUAAAUUUUUAUGAUCUGAUCUCAAAUCAGGUAGGACUACCCGCUGAACUUAA
rnacentral:misc_RNA from 1 species